CGUAGAGUUGAUCCGUGCGCAGACAACGCUGCGGCGUGCCUAACACAUGCAAGUCGAACGCGCUCCAUUCGUAGCAAUACUGAUGAAGAGUGAGUGGCGAACGGGUGAGUAGCACGUGAGCAACCUGCCCCGAAGACCGGGACAACACCGGGAAACCGGUAGCUAAUACCGGAUAUCCCUAUCGGACCGCAUGAUCUGAUAGGAAAUGGAUUCCGCUUCGGAGGGGCUCGCGGCCUAUCAGCUAGUUGGUGAGGUAACGGCCCACCAAGGCAUCGACGGGUAGCUGGUCUGAGAGGACGAUCAGCCACACUGGGACUGAGACACGGCCCAGACUCCUACGGGAGGCAGCAGUGGGGAAUCUUGCGCAAUGGGCGAAAGCCUGACGCAGCAACGCCGCGUGGAGGACGAAGGCUUUCUGAGUUGUAAACUCCUUUCAGCAGGGACGAUAGUGACGGUACCUGCAGAAGAAGCACCGGCCAACUACGUG
rnacentral:rRNA from 1 species